UACGGAGGAUGCGAGCGUUAUCCGGAUUUAUUGGGUUUAAAGGGUGCGUAGGCGGGCUGUUAAGUCAGCGGUAAAAGCCCGGGGCUCAACCCCGGCGAGCCGUUGAAACUGGCUGUCUUGAGAUGUCGAGAGGUAUGCGGAAUGCGCAGUGUAGCGGUGAAAUGCUUAGAUAUUGCGCAGAACUCCGAUUGCGAAGACAGCAUACCGGCGGCGAUCUGACGCUGAGGCACGAAAGCGUGGGUAUCGAACAGG
rnacentral:rRNA from 1 species